AUUUCUGCACUCGAGACUUCUGAAACCAAGUGAACUUUUGCAAAUGCUCCUGAGAGAUGCCACGGGGAAGAUUUCCUUUGCAGAGAAACGAUCUGAGAGUAGAAAGCAUUUCACACAAGAGGAAGCAACAUAUGCCACCACAACCAAGGAAUAAAUAGGGAAAAAUAACAGGGGAAUAACAAGUUUUUCUUUUGGUGGCAAGACUGUUAUUGCCUGAACACAGGAAACCCAAACCACAAGACACAUCACCAAUAAACCUCUUCUUGUGACAGAUUUUCUGACUGGAAAAAAACGCUUUCAUCAUAUCUGCUUCCUGCAGAAGUUUACGUGAGGACCCUACGAGCAUGUGCUCACAAGUGCAUAGGAACAGAUGAUAAUAAAUAUCUCCACCAUCCAUCCUCUUUUCCUGGACAGAUGCUAAAUUUUGGUGGACUUUUCUUCAGACUCUCCAGAAUCUACUCCUAUGGCCAUGGAGGGGGCUUCACCACCCCGUCUGCGAUGUGCUCGCUGCUGGGGAGGAGACUAAGAGCUGCCUGGCAGAAGCACACCAGCGUUGAAGAGUAACGGACAGGAAUAAAAGGAAAAUGUGGCGUAUCUACAAGAGGACCGUACCUCAGGAUUCUGUUUGCUGUGCACUAAGGAAGAAUCGCAAGACUUGAUCAUACCUAGGGAACCUCGGACAGCCCGUAUCUCCUUUCUCUGCAUGUUCUGUGUAUUCAAGCACCAUCUCAAGGAUGACUUUACCACAGCCCCUCUACUAUGUGAAGGACUGCCUAUGGUAGAAAAGAGUUUUCAGCCUUAAAAGACAAGACAAACAAUAUGAAGGGAGCACAGAGAGGAAGCAGUGAUUUCCUGAGUGUCAUCUGGGAGAUCGCUGGCGUGGCCGGUUUGAAACCCAGCUGUGCCAGGCUCCGAGACUGUGCGCCGUCCUCACCGAGAGCAAAACGCAAAUCACAUCUAAGCCGAGUUCCUGCGGCAAGCGUAGUGCACAUGGGUGAGUACAGAGAUGGGGCGGGGUGGAAGGAAGAAAGAAAAACACCAUCUCCCUGUUGGUCCCUGGGUGUUUUUUGCUGUCGUCCUUUGUCUGACCAUUGCUAUCAGCCUCUGAAGUGAACUCAGAAGGAAUCCUUGGGAAGCUGUCACCUGCAAUGAGACUCGCUCUGCGCUCACCGAGGAACUGAGCUGUGCUCAGGUGGCAGUGUCUGGGCAAGCUUCCUGGACCCAGAGCAGGAUCAUCUUCAGUUCUGCAGAGAAGUGAAGCCAUUCUGCUGGGCAAAAGAGAGAAGUGUCUCUGCUACAGACCCUGUUGCAAAAAUUUAGGAGCCAAACUCUCCAGUAACUGCGAGGCUGCAGAAGCGCAACCCCUGAGCUCAGCAGCACACGGCGUCCAGCUCGGCGAGAGGAGGAAGCUGGAGAGUGCAGUCUGCGGGCACGGUUUGAGCCAGGUUCUGGCAGCAGCGAGUUCCCUGAAGCGCCUUUCCAUCUUUCUGAAGGAUUGUCUUAGCAAAAGUGGUGCUCGGUGUUGCCUGACACAGCCUGUACCGCUUGUUGCAUUCUUGCACCUCUGUUCUUAUACACGUGAAUUCAAAGCCUUAUGACAUCUUUGAUGUGGUUGAAAGUCAGAGGACCAUCACAAGCCACGGGCAUCACUUGCAGAGGUCCUGUAAUGUAUUCUGGUUUGAUU